GACGAACGCUGGCGGCGUGCUUAACACAUGCAAGUCGAACGGAAAGGCCCUGCUUUUGUGGGGUGCUCGAGUGGCGAACGGGUGAGUAACACGUGAGUAACCUGCCCUUGACUUUGGGAUAACUUCAGGAAACUGGGGCUAAUACCGGAUAGAAGCUCCUGCUGCAUGGUGGGGGUUGGAAAGUUUCGGCGGUUGGGGAUGGACUCGCGGCUUAUCAGCUUGUUGGUGGGGUAGUGGCUUACCAAGGCUUUGACGGGUAGCCGGCCUGAGAGGGUGACCGGCCACAUUGGGACUGAGAUACGGCCCAGACUCCUACGGGAGGCAGCAGUGGGGAAUAUUGCACAAUGGGCGGAAGCCUGAUGCAGCAACGCCGCGUGCGGGAUGACGGCCUUCGGGUUGUAAACCGCUUUCGCCUGUGACGAAGCGUGAGUGACGGUAAUGGGUAAAGAAGCACCGGCUAACUACGUGCCAGCAGCCGCGGUGAUACGUAGGGUGCGAGCGUUGUCCGGAUUUAUUGGGCGUAAAGGGCUCGUAGGUGGUUGAUCGCGUCGGAAGUGUAAUCUUGGGGCUUAACCCUGAGCGUGCUUUCGAUACGGGUUGACUUGAGGAAGGUAGGGGAGAAUGGAAUUCCUGGUGGAGCGGUGGAAUGCGCAGAUAUCAGGAGGAACACCAGUGGCGAAGGCGGUUCUCUGGGCCUUUCCUGACGCUGAGGAGCGAAAGCGUGGGGAGCGAACAGGCUUAGAUACCCUGGUAGUCCACGCUGUAAACGGUGGGUACUAGGUGUGGGGUCCAUUCCACGGGUUCCGUGCCGUAGCUAACGCUUUAAGUACCCCGCCUGGGGAGUACGGCCGCAAGGCUAAAACUCAAAGGAAUUGACGGGGCCCCGCACAAGCGGCGGAGCAUGCGGAUUAAUUCGAUGCAACGCGUAGAACCUUACCUGGGUUUGACAUGGAUCGGGAGUGCUCAGAGAUGGGUGUGCCUCUUUUGGGGUCGGUUCACAGGUGGUGCAUGGCUGUCGUCAGCUCGUGUCGUGAGAUGUUGGGUUAAGUCCCGCAACGAGCGCAACCCUUGUUCACUGUUGCCAGCACGUUAUGGUGGGGACUCAGUGGAGACCGCCGGGGUCAACUCGGAGGAAGGUGGGGAUGACGUCAAGUCAUCAUGCCCCUUAUGUCCAGGGCUUCACGCAUGCUACAAUGGCUGGUACAGAGAGUGGCGAGCCUGUGAGGGUGAGCGAAUCUCGGAAAGCCGGCCUCAGUUCGGAUUGGGGUCUGCAACUCGACCUCAUGAAGUCGGAGUCGCUAGUAAUCGCAGAUCAGCAACGCUGCGGUGAAUACGUUCCCGGGGCU
rnacentral:rRNA from 1 species